CGACUGUGCCCACACUGGGCCAGAGGCGGGAAAUACGAGGUGAAGUGAAACUGACAGUUUAGAUCACUUCCUCUCAGGGCGUGUAACACAGCAUGGUGGGGAAUUCCUGCUAGUGGCGUGAACAGAGCUGAGAGAGUAGCAAGCCGGGGAACGCCUGUCCUCUGGGCUUAGGGAAGGUUUCACAGCCGGGUUGCGUUGGAGUGAGUCUGCAAAGGGUGAGUGCAGUGUUGUGAGGAGGGUAAAGGGAUGGCGAGGAUGAGUGAAGGAAGCUGCUGAGCUGGGAAAGGAGUGGCAAGCGUCCAAUGCAAAUGGGGGGUAGGGUGGGGCCAUAGAGUGCUUUACAAAGAUUGUGGUGGAAAUGGGCUGUUGAGCAUAGAUGGUGGGGAAUUACCCAGGGAACAUGUCUUUGCUGAAGGUUGAGGUUCAGGGGAGCGACAUGAUUGGAUCCAUGUCAUAGGCAGCAGGUUGUGGUGGUGUGUGGAAGAUGGAGGGAACGGGGGAAACAGUGAGAGGCAGGGAGCCAGGUGAGGAACCUGCUCCCACAUCCUGGGCAAGAGGUGUCAGAGCAGGUGUCCAGGAGGAGGUGGCUCAAGACUUCUCAAGGGGCUUGUUGGCCGAUUGGAUGUGGCAGAUGAAUAAAUCAAGGCACAGAGAAGUUACAGGACUUGGCCAAGGAGAGAUACAGGUGGUGGAACAGAGAUUCAAACUCAGUGCCCAGUUAUUGCCAGAAGAGGAUAAAGUUGGGAACCAGAGUGUGAAGAAAGUGAAUUCCUCCAUCUCUCUUCUUUCAUUUUUGGUCCCCUCUCUGCAUCCUCUGGGAUUCUCCUCCUUCAUCCCAAGCCCUCUAUGUUGAAACACUAACAUGGAGAAUGCAGUGUCAUUCAAGUAAUAGAAAUAAAAGCUAUUUCUCAUUUCUUAUUAA
rnacentral:lncRNA from 1 species